UUGCUGCUUUGCUGACGAGUGGCGGACGGGUGAGUAAUGUCUGGGAAACUGCCCGAUGGAGGGGGAUAACUACUGGAAACGGUAGCUAAUACCGCAUAACGUCGCAAGACCAAAGAGGGGGACCUUAGGGCCUCUUGCCAUCGGAUGUGCCCAGAUGGGAUUAGCUAGUAGGUGGGGUAAAGGCUCACCUAGGCGACGAUCCCUAGCUGGUCUGAGAGGAUGACCAGCCACACUGGAACUGAGACACGGUCCAGACUCCUACGGGAGGCAGCAGUGGGGAAUAUUGCACAAUGGGCGCAAGCCUGAUGCAGCCAUGCCGCGUGUAUG
rnacentral:rRNA from 1 species